GGAUUGUGGCUUAGUGGUAGAGUGCUCGCCUAGCAUAUGCAUGGCCCUGGGUUCAAUCCUCAGCACCA
rnacentral:tRNA from 1 species